rnacentral:tRNA from 1 species
GGAGUUGUAGCUCAGCUACAGAGCGCUCGCCUACCACGUGACAGGCCCUGGGUUCGAUCCUCGGCACCACCU